GGAUGUGAGGGUGAUCUGGCUGUGACAUCUGUCACCCCAUUGAUCACCAGGGUUGAUUUGGCUGAUCUGGCUGGCUGGGCGGGUGUCCCUUCCUUCCUCACAGCUCCAUGUGCGUCCCUCCCAAAGCUAAGCACUCGGUGGAAGAGGACGAUGUCCCAGGUAUAAAAGGAGUGUACUGUGGUCUCCAGUGUUCAGUCCUGGGUAUACGAUAGCUGUGCUCCCCUGCUAGAACCUCCAAACAAGCUCAAGGCAUGUAUAUUAGAAAAGCCCUGAAAACAUGGCUAUGUGCCCAGGCUUU
rnacentral:snRNA from 1 species